UACGUAGGGACCAAGCGUUGUUCGGAUUUACUGGGCGUAAAGGGCGCGUAGGCGGCAAUUCAAGUCAUCUGUGAAAUCUCCGAGCUUAACUCGGAACGGUCAGAUGAUACUGUUUUGCUAGAGUACAGAAGGGGCAAUCGGAAUUCUUGGUGUAGCGGUGAAAUGCGUAGAUAUCAAGAGGAACACCUGAGGUGAAGACGGGUUGCUGGGCUGAUACUGACGCUGAGGCGCGAAAGCUAGGGGAUCAAACAGGG
rnacentral:rRNA from 1 species